AAAAUGGUGUUUUUCAACACCACUACAAUAAUUUUCGGAAAGAUGG
rfam:Picea glauca, whole genome shotgun sequence.